rnacentral:rRNA from 1 species
UACGUAGGGUGCGAGCGUUGUCCGGAUUUAUUGGGCGUAAAGGGCUCGUAGGCGGCCUGUCGCGUCGGGAGAGAAAGCCCACUGCUUAACGGUGGGUCUGCUUCCGGUACGGGCGGGCUAGAGUAUGGCAGGGGAGACUGGAAUUCCUGGUGUAGCGGUGGAAUGCGCAGAUAUCAGGAGGAACACCGGUGGCGAAGGCGGGUCUCUGGGCAGUAACUGACGCUGAGGAGCGAAAGCGUGGGGAGCGAACAGG